rnacentral:lncRNA from 1 species
AUCCUUUGUUUGUGCUAGUUCUGGCUGAGCUCAUUAAUUGUCUGAUGAGUCAAUUCACCUGCCUGAAAAGCAGCUUCUUGUUGGUGGGGUGAAUCUGCUCAGGGAAGGACUCUACUAGGCUUGGAGCUGGCUUGAGAUACCACACCUUCCUGGUCUUCAAUCUGGAUGUGGUGACAAGAUUAUUACCUGCCCUGGAAUCCCUGUUUCUCCUCACUGACUGCAAAUAACGCUUCUGACGGCUUUUCCUUUACUGGCCAGUUGCCAUCAGCUUGCUGCAAGCCAAGGCUGGCCAAGAAUCCUGGAAACGCUUCUGAGCUUUGGAGUCAUGCUGCCCAUCUAGUCUGACAGAAACC